UACGUAGGGGGCGAGCGUUGUCCGGAUUCAUUGGGCGUAAAGAGCUCGUAGGCGGCUUGGCAAGUCGGGUGUGAAAACUCCAGGCUCAACCUGGAGACGCCACCCGAUACUGCCAUGACUCGAGUCCGGUAGGGGAGUGCGGAAUUCCUGGUGUAGCGGUGAAAUGCGCAGAUAUCAGGAGGAACACCGGUGGCGAAGGCGGCACUCUGGGCCGGUACUGACGCUGAGGAGCGAAAGCGUGGGGAGCGAACAGG
rnacentral:rRNA from 1 species